GCUCCGGUGGCCUAGUAGUUAGAGCAUCUGCCUCAGAUGUGGGAGGUCGUGGGUUUGAUCCCCCGCCGAGUCA